rnacentral:lncRNA from 1 species
AUGCUGGCCUACGCAGUCUCAGAGCAUGAAAGUUUGAGGCGUCUAUGUUAUGAGAGAGUGGACAUGAAGGUGCUUUGAAUAGAUCCAUCUUCACAGGGAGGACACUGGCUGUCAGGAGAGACCAGACUUGCCUCAAGAAGGGUUAAUGCCCAAAGCAGGACCUUUUGGAGGUCGUCAGCCUUCACUAGUACCAGGAGCCAAUGGCCAUUGUCCUGCAUGAGGCUGCGGUCUCCACCCCAAAGGCCCUUCAUUCCUCCGCGCACCUGAUGGCUUCCUCCUGAAGCUCUGAGACCCCACUUCCUGGCACCUCCUCAGGAUCUGCCACAGCAUGGAUUUCUCUGUUCCCUCUGUCAGAGAUCUACAGCCUGUGUACUGCGAUGGCCCAGCACUCCUGCUUGUGUCUCCCACUUGGCUGGAAGCAGACCAAGAGCAGGACCUGCACUUGAUGGAUCAGCUGGCACCAUCCAGAUGGAUAAACUUGUGGCCCCCAUCCAGGAACUGAGUCAGUGCAAGAGGACAACUUCAACUUCCCGUGAUUUCAUCUCCUGCAUAACCAAUCAGCACUCCCGGCUCUUUGGCUUCCCCCCACCCACCAAGUUGUCCUUAAAAACUCUGA